GCAGGCCCCAGGCUCUGAGCUGUCAGCACAGAGCCAGACAUGGGGCUUGAACCCACGAACCGUGAGAUCAUGAGCUGAGCCAAAGUCGAUGCUCAACCGACUGAGACACCCAGGCGCCCCUAUCUUUUCUUUUAAAAAAAAAUGGGGAGUAGGGAGGGGUCAGAAGCCUAAAGAAAAGAGGUAACUUAAUUUUUAAGUUUGAAAGGUUGUAAAGAAUCUUCUUCAAAAAGAAGGGAUUGCAUACUAUUCUCAUUUUUAAAAAGGUAAUGUGCUUCAAAAUAUAACAUGAUAAUGAUCAUAUUAACUUAAAGAUACAGUCGUUUUAUUAGCACUCACUUAUUUCCUUAAUUCAUCUCAAAUUGAUACCUGUAUUAUUGCCUUACAACAUUUUAUUUUCUUUAAUAGAAUUAUGAAAUUAUUUGAAGGGCCAAGUAAAAUAGUAUUUCUCAAACUCCAGGUUAUGACCCAUUAAUGGGUAAGGAAAUGAAUAAAAUGAGUCAUAAUUGAUAUUUUAUACAAAUUAAGAAAUAGAAGAGAAGAGAAAAUACCAGAAAUGCAUUCACUUUGUAAGGGUAGGUUUUGUUUUGUGAAAUUUUGUUGAGUGCGUGUGUAUGCAUGUACACACACAUAUGUAUGUGUGUAUAUAUGUGUAUGUAUGUAUAUACACAUACACAUACAUAGACAUAUACACAUACACAUACAUACACACAUGUAUAUACAUUUGCACAUAUAUGUGUAUAUAAAUACCAUAUAAACAUAUACAUGUGAGUGUACUGAAUGAAAAUUUUAAAUGUAUCUCUUAUUGUGGAAUGCAGACAAAAAGUUUCAGAGAAAUCCUGUGGUGAAGAAUAUUCAAAAUAAAAAGUAAAAAAAAAAAUGACCAUGGUACCCUACCCACUAAAUAUGAUUUUAAAUGCUAAAUAUCUUUAUUAAAGCAAUGUCUUCAGCCUUAGCAAGUUUAUAGUUCUAAUAAAAAAAGGCAUUCAGGCAAAAUGUAUUUUCAUAUAUGGGUAUGUGUGUGCAUGCAUACAGGCACCUACCUAUAAAUAGAAUUUCUAAAACCUUCAAAUAUAUUUAAAACUUUUAAAACAUAUUUAGAAAUAGGACUUCCUGAUUCUAUGAAUAACUGUCGUUAAUAACAUAAAGUCAAAGGUGCAGUUAUGCUGAUAUUUUAACAACAUUCACACACUAAGCUAAAGGCCAGUAUGAAAACAAAUUGCAGGUAGUUGCUACUUUUUUCAUUGAAAAUUGACAGCCUAUUUAGCACCUACCCUGUCACUUUAGCCUGGAACGAUAGUAGGUGGUCUGUGUGAUGCAGUUGGAAUCCAGAGAGAAAUUCUGAAACUGCAUUUAAUGGUUGAGAAGAGACAGUCUUAUCCUUCCUCUUAAUGAUUUCCCCCCUGAUCUGCCUCUGAUCUGAACUGGUCUUCCUGAACGUUGUAAUACUGCUCUGCCCGUUCUUCAUCAUGGACCAUAUAGGCUUCCUGGGAACUCUCAGGACGAAAAACAUUCCAGACAUUCCUUAACACAACGUUCCUCAAAAGGUUGGUUUCUUAGGAUCCUGUGGAAGCGCUGCCCGCGUGGUUCACAGAGGCCGCCGCACAGGCCUCUUUCAGGAGCAGAUGGGCCAGACAGCGGCAGCUGUCUCUGCUCUGAAAGACUCGCUUUGCUCAACUGGAGCCCAUCAGACUCGCCUUUAGAGGGGUAAAUGAGGACACUGGGAUUCUCGGUAGACAAGAACCAGUCAGUGGGGCCGAGUUUCCAGCAGCACAAGGAAGCUACACAUAGAUUGUAUAUCUUGGUGUGAUGUGUGUUUUCUUUGGAAAGAGGAAUUUAAAUGAAGUUUCCUAUAGCAAAGUCUUGGCCCCCCAAAUCCAAGAGUCUCAGAGUUACUUUUAAUGAAUUCAAGAACCGGUAAUUCUACACUGGAACUCUUCUUAGCUGCCUUUCUUACACAAAUAAUUACAGGACACACCAUUUCCUUCUUUUUCCCUAUUAAUAAUUACAACUCUGCCUCUCUCUCCACCCUCCAUCCCUCCCUCUCUCCUCCCUAUGCCUCUCAUACACUUCCUUUGAAGUUGUCUAAGUCUCCUUUUAGACCAGGGACAAAUUGAUAUCAAAUGUUCCAGGGUUGAAGGUUUCUAAGGAUGAAAAGACAAACCCCAAAAACAUCUUUUACCUAUGACUGGGUCCCUUCACAUUCUUUCCGCCUGACUGACUGUUCACGGCAACCCCUGGGGGGGGUUGAUUUGCCUACAACUCUCCUCACCCAACUCAGCCCCUCUUGGUUUCCACAUUCCUUGAUAAUUACAGCCAAACCCAGCAUCUUUCUCAGAAAUACAAAACCCUAGUGCAACAUCUUACACACAAUUCUUCCAUGAAAUACGAGUUCGUGAGUGUUACAGGAUGCGCUCACAUACCUGGACCUGAGUGAUCUGACCAGCGGAGUUUGUCCUGAGGCUCUAUUCUUUCUCAGUGACCCAUGAGAUGCUGAACAAAUUAGAGGUGUUCUAUAUUCAGCAUAUGAUUGACUGCCGAUGAAAUAUGACUCAGAGCCCAGAGGUGCAGUACAGAACGGGAUGAUUAAGAAGCUGAGGGAUCAUUUCACAUUCCAAAUGUAUAGUAUGAUAGCUGGAGGAAAUUGUAUCAGCUUCAGUAUAAGUAUUUUUCUCUCCUCUUGUCUUCCCUCCAUGCAGUUGUGGGCUGAGGCUCCCGGAACAUGUUGCUACAAUGAGAGUAAGGUGGGCAGUACUGUUUUCCUGUAGCACGUAUAAGAUAACACAUUUCCAUGUUCUUUGUUUCCAUAUUUGUCAAUCACUUUCCUGGGUCAUUUACCAGAAGGCCUCCUGACUUUGGAAUCUGUGGCAGAAUUUUCAGCUGCCAGCUCUAAAACAAAGAAACCCACCUAGACAAAUCCUGUAAGAUGUCAUCAUCUAAAAAUACCCCUUAGUGGGUUAUUGAGAGCAGGAAAUGAAGCACAGAUAGCAAGUUCACACUGACUUGUUGAAGUCACUAUGGAGCGUUUACAAGGAUCCCACAGAUGACUAAAAUUAGUUUAUUCUGCACAGCAUUAUCCACUGCUGACUCAAGAUGGUGAUACAAGCAGUGUUAAGCUGUGAGCUCACCAGGAAGCUCAUUCCCUAAAAUUAUUCUCUGGCUGGGAAAGACCCCUAGGUCACAUCAGUGGUUGGAAGAUGGGACAUUAAUAGCAACUUGUUCUGCCAUCACUCAGAAACUGUGUUUUCCUGUUGUCUCCCGUUCUCUGUUUCUUGCAGAUUGUAGAAGCCUCCUGAUCAGCCUGUUGUCUCUCCGUGCUCAAGGGUGUCCCAAGGAGAGAGGGGAAGGAGGGCCACAGAAGCAGUUGCUUUUAGAGUCUCAGACCCCAUAUCUUUGCAGAUAUCUGCUCUACUCCAUCAAAUGUUCCCAGUGCAGCUCUUAGACAAGAACUGAAAUCAGCAGGAAAAGAGUGAACAAAAAAUAGGAAUGGAUCUGGCUUACUGUAACCAUUUCAGCAAAGAACUGAUGAAGGGACCAGUUUCACCUAUACAAAACAGGAGCUCUGGUAGCCUCUGCUGAGACUUUUCGGUAGAAAAUGCUUUGAAAAAGAAAAGAAAAGAGAGAAGCAGCUAUUUUGAAGACUGACUUUCUAAAAUUAUAUUUAGGAUUAAGCGGUUGUAACAUUGCCAUUCGUCGCCGAGGCUCCUGGUUUCAGCACGUCUCCUUGGUUCCCAGCCAGUCCUGGGUGUUCAGAAGCUCUUCUACCAGCAAAGAAAGAGGAUUUCUUCCCAUUUGGCUCCAGCCUGGAAACAAUCCCAAGAAUGACUUGUAUUGGAUCAAUGGAGGUUGCAUACUCCCUCCCAAACCGCACACCAAGCCAGGAAGAUGGGUGAGGACACAGUGAGAAGGUGGCCAUCUGCAAGCCAGGGAGACAGCUCUCACCAGAACCCAACCAUACUGCCACCCUGACCUCAGAUUUCCAGUCUCCAGAACUGUGAGAAAAUAAACUUCUGUUGUUUAAGCCGCAUAAUCUAUGGGGUUUUCUUAUGGUCGCCCAAGUUUAUUAAUACAAUCUCCAAGAUUUAUUUGUAGGUAGGGAAAAAAGGGUGCCAAAAGAGUGUACUGUUGGGAUGAAGAAAAAGAAAAGAGUCUAUACUUGUACUGGUUUGUAUAUCCAUUCUAAACGUCCUGGGAAUAAAUGAGAAACUAAUAAUGUUGUUUACUUUUUUGUGGGGCUGUAGGAACUUGACAGAGGACAGGGUGGAAAGGAACCUUUGCUGUAUAUCCUUCUCUAUCUUUUGAUGUUUGAACUAUGUGUAUGUGCCACCACUUCAGAAAACUAAAUAAAUAAAAUUCAUUUAAAAAUAAUAAUAAAACCACUUGGAAAAACAAUAUUAUAUUGAAAUAAGGAAAAUACGGAUUAUAUUGAAAGAAAAUUAUUGAUUAGCAGAAUAAUUACAGCAGAGGUUGACGUUUGAAGAUGAAGGAAUAUGAGCAGUUAUAUUAAAUUGCUUUCUUGGGCCGUUAUUUAACAAUUGCUGUGAUCAUGUAGACAGUUCUGUCUACUGCCCUUUCCUGGGAUCUGC